UACUAAAGUUGUUGCGGUUAAAAAGCUCGUAGUUGAAAUUGUGUCCCGCGGCGUCGGUCUACCGAUUGAGGUACGACAGGCGCGUCUGCGGGGCUUCUCGCCGGUGCGUGUUCACCGUCGGCCAUCAGGGCUGCGCGUCGCUUUGCGGCGUCGCGUUAGUCCGGUCGACGGGCCCUCGCGGCUGUUUACUUUGAACAAAUUAGAGUGCUCAAAGCGGGCUUACAUUUGCCUGAAUAUUGUGCGCAUGGAAUAAUAGAAUAGGACCUCGGUUCUGUUUUGUUGGCUUUCUGAUACCAGAGGUACUGAUUAAUAGGGACAACUGGGGGCAUUCGUAUUGCGAGUUAGAGGUGAAAUUCUUGGAUCGUCGCAAGACGGACUAAAGCGAAAGCAUUUGCCAAAGGUGUUUUCAUUAAUCAAGAACGAAAGUUAGAGGUUCGAAGGCGAUUAGAUACCGCUGUAGUUCUAACCAUAAAUGAUGCCAGCCAGCGAUCCGCCGAAGUUUCAUAAAUUUGACCCGGUGGGCAGCUCCCGGGAAACCAAAGCUUUC
rnacentral:rRNA from 1 species